rnacentral:rRNA from 1 species
CCGCCGGCGACCGGCGCACGGGUGAGUAACACGUAUGCAACCUGGCCGUGACAGAUGGAUAACCGGGAGAAAUCCCGCCUAAUACAACAUAAUGCCGGGAGGGGACAUCCCCUGCCGGUCAAAGGGGGCGACCCCGGUCAUGGAUGGGCAUGCGGCGCAUUAGGUAGUUGGUGGGGCAACGGCCCACCAAGCCGACGAUGCGUAGGGGUUCUGAGAGGAAGGCCCCCCACAUUGGAACUGAGACACGGUCCAAACUCCUACGGAAGGCAGCAG